UGGUGGAAGGAGAUAUGAAUUUAUGGACGUGAAUGAGCUAUCCAAGGCAUACUUCUACAUUCUAAAUAAUUGUGAAGAAAUUAAAGAUUUCAUUGAAUAAAUAUCAUCUUAGUAUACUGUUUAAUGUUUUAAGUAAUUUUUUCAUGUCGAUAUAAAAUUAAAAAUCAUGACUUGUCGCAGUGAGCACAAGAGUAUACUAUCUAGAGAGAAUAAUAUGGAUGCUAAUGAUCGACAUAG
rnacentral:lncRNA from 1 species